UACAGAGGGUGCAAGCGUUGUUCGGAAUCAUUGGGCGUAAAGGGCGUGUAGGCGGCAGAGUCUGUCCGGUGUGAAAGCCCCCGGCUCAACUGGGGAAGUGCAUUGGAAACUGCUUUGCUUGAGUACGAGAGAGGAUGACGGAAUUCCCAGUGUAGAGGUGAAAUUCGUAGAUAUUGGGAGGAACACCAGAGGCGAAGGCGGUCAUCUGGCUCGUUACUGACGCUGAGACGCGAAAGCGUGGGUAGCAAAC
rnacentral:rRNA from 1 species